rnacentral:lncRNA from 1 species
UUUUUUUUUCUUUCACGGGUGUCGAAUAAGCAUCGAGCUCACUCGGGGUAUGUUGAUAUUUGAGAGUUGGGCCCCAAGGGGGAGUUUAUAGCAAACAGAUUGUUGAAUGUUUGGAGACAUCCGAUAAAAGAGCUGAUUGUUGUACGUUUCAUGGUAAUGUAAGGAGCCUCUCCAGAAGGCCAAUUUUGCCUAAAGAAAUUCGAAAUUCAUGGCGUCCUUGUACAUCUGAUUAGACUGGGUUAUCGCCUGACUGUGCACCAAGGUUUUGCUGUGUUCUAAGUUCUAACCGACCUUGUUUGGUUCGGCAUAGCUUGUUCCCCAGCAGCCUUUUCGGAGGCUAAGCGGAAGCAAUGGCCAGACGGCCGUUACACACUCGAAUCUGUAACUGGUUGCAAUCUGUCGUGAAUCUGUAACUGGUUUGCCUAUCGCCAGUGCCUGCUCGUGCUCGGUGCUCACUGUUGGCGCUUGAACUGGGAGACGUGACUCGAACGGCGAUGGAACCGAUCGAUCAGCGAGGUCCGGGACCCAGAGAUGCCACUGUCCUCUGCCGCUCGUGCCCCAUUUCACCAGCCCAGAACUGCUGCUGCCGCUGUACCUGCACUGUGCAUCGACGGCAGUGGAGACGGGAGCGUGAGCGUUGUUGCGACGAGUCACCUCCUGAGGAAAGACGAAGAGAAAACACGGCGAGGCGUUUCGUCAGCUGUCUCCAGCGACCAUGAUGUGAUGCGAGUUGAGUUUGGACUGUGCGUUUGGGCCGGGAGAACCAGCCAAAUGUCCCCCCUCCUCCGCUGCCUGAUCUUGGGCUCGGAAAGCUAUAAAGUAGCGGGUUGCUGGGCGGGAACGUCUGUGUGUCGGGGGCCGGCCGCCACUGUUUGUUGUGAUUUUUGUGUCCCCGUCGUGCCAUCAAAUCCAACUGUGAAGCUUUGAACAACGGUCUAGAAGCCUAUUAACGGUCUAGAGCCUACUAACCGUCUCUCUUUGUUCCCAACUGGGGUCACUUCACUGUCACAUGCUAGCCUAGAAGCCUAUAAUAAGGCUAUAUAUAGCAUCAGUACGUUCGUAUGUAGCCACGCUCGUGGCGGAAAGGGUUGCAGCAGUGCCGCCAAAACAGAAGUGAUUUUGACCGGUUUCUUCGGGUUUCCGUAUGGUGCCAAACUGCCAAUGGCAAACCCUGUGCCGGCCGGCGGGAUCCGAGCCGUGGCGCAAUUCUGCCCGGUCCGCAUCUUUCCAAGGUUUUUAGUUAGCUGAUCAACGAAUUGGUUUACACACACUGACAAAGUUGGCCUAAUUUUGUUAGUUUUCGUUCACUAGCGACAGCGCGGCAUGUGUUUUGCAAGAUUCCUAAGUUUUGUUGGGUCGUGACAUCGAUAUCUGAGCUGGUAAAGGCAUAUUGAGUGGAGUGGUACGUAUUUCAAUUCAACCGGUCAAGUUUAACGGUCUUAAGUUGGGUAGUUACCAUAUUGACGUCUCAAUCUAACUAGAUAAGUCGAGCUAUUUUUUUCCUUUCUCUUCUUUUCGUGCCUGUAGCCUCGCAGGGUUGUAGUCUUAUAUUUUUUCUGUUAUAUUAAUAGAAACUUGCACUAUCUUAUAUGGUUCGUUCAAAAGAUAUGAGCUUGUAAAUAAACCUCCUAGAAGCACACUAGUGUGUCGAGUUCUGUAGUGUUUUUAAUUUUUGGACCAAACGGCUUUGCAUUCUAAAUGCUGCACGGGUGACUUGGUGGGGAGUACUUGAGGUCAUUUCUUGGAUUCAUUGUCUGUCCUGCACUACGAGUGGGUGUUGACCGUUAUUGGUGAUGCUUGUUAUGCUUUAAACGUGGUGGUCAAAUCUUAAUAUUUGCUAAUCCAUGCCAUGUUUCUAGAACCCGUACUUUAUGAUAAAACAGUGAAAACUAUUUAAUGUGGGAACUACUACUUGAGGUCUUAUUCGGUUAAUGAGUUAAUCCUUUCCGUAAAAGAAUUGAGGGGGAUUUUAACUUGCAGGGAUUUAAUCCCUCCCAACCCCAUCUAAUACUUUUCAAUCCCCUUCAUAUUGAAAAAGCUUUGAGCGUGUUUUAGAACAACAAUGAUGCUCACCUUUUCACGAGAGAACUAUUAUAUUUGAAUACAUACGUGUGAUUAUGUCGAGUAAAGACCAUCUACAACAAAAAGGGCUGAGGAAGUAUGCAUGCAUAUUUUCCACUGACUGAGUUAGCCUUUGUUCUUAAGCCCAGAUACUAACCUAUAGGUAGCUACCAAAUGGAAUCUAGCUACAGUAAGAAAGAACUUUUUGAAACUGCUCGACCAACUAUUUUCACUAUUUUUUUAUAUCCGAGCGAAACAGGACGGUAAAAAGUAAAUCUGUUAUUAUUAAUGGGGGUGCAGCGUUUCGUUGGGCUAUUUGAAAUACAAAGGAACAAAGUGAUUUUUGAUAAAUGAUAAAUGCCAAUCUAAAACUUUUUACAGGUACUUGCUCAGUUUUUGUGCCAAGUUGCAGCCAAGUGAGGGUCCUAAUCAUGACAUUUUUGGCUCUUUGGAGCAGCGGCUGACAGGAAACAACAUUUCGAUUUCCCGUGGCUCCACCUCCACACUACUGCAAGUUUGCAACAGUAAUAUGAUUGUGCAGAUGCAGCUUUCAGCUGCGCCCGGGAACCAAGCCUUGUUUUGGAAACCCCUUGUUUUCUGCGCGCCCAUGGCCGAUCAUAGCCCGCCUUCUUUAUAGCCGGCCGGCUCGCCUCGACGACGCCAUGCCGAGAAGCCGAGCCACACACAAAUAGCUAAGCAGAGCAGACUGCAUUGCUCUGUGAAGGGUAGAGGCUAGAGACAGGCAUGGCGGCGCUGCUCGAAGCUGUGGUGUUCCCGCCAGAUCACCCCCGCGUCCCGUGCUGCAGGUCGUGCGGCUCGAGCUGCGUCCUCGGUGGCUAUGGCGUCGCCUCGGCCGGAGAGUUCGAGGGAAUCAUCGAGAAGGGCGUGGUGGUGGUGCAGGAAAACGGAGAGCUCCUGGUGCCGCCGACGGCGCAUGGCAGCGCCUGCUGUGCCUGGGCCGGCGGCGCGGCGACCAGCAGCUGGGCCGGCCCCGUGCCGUCGACGACGCUGGCGACGUCGUCCGCGCGGUGGCCAGCGCAUCAUCAUCAGCCCGCGGUCACCAGGAAGCCGCGGCGGCGGAGAGGGACGGCGGCGAGGAGGAGCGCGUCGGAGGCCGAGAGCCUGAGGCGGAACCACAUCGCUGUGGAGCGCAGCCGGCGGCGGCAGGUGAACGAGUACCUCGCCGCGCUGCGCGCCCUCAUGCCGACCUCCUACGCACGACGGGUACGUGGAGCCGCGCCGCGCCGCGCCUCAGGCUCUUCAUCGCCCGAGACACGCGCGCCCGCUUCUCGUGACUUUCCACUUGGCACACGUCAAAUCAUUAUCGUCACUGUGGAAGACACUGUUCGUCCAUACGAGGAUGUGCUAGCUAGCUGCUGUCACGAUCACAAAAAGGAAGGGGAAAAAAAGGGGCAAUAGCUGAUCAGCAUUUCUUGCGUUCGUGGCAGGGUGACCAGGCGUCCAUAGUCGGAGGCGCCAUCGACUUCGUCAAGGAGCUGGAGCACCACCUGCAAUCGCUGCAGGCUCAGAGACACCCCGCCGCCGCCGCCGCCGGCCACGGCUCCGAGCGUUUCCCCGGAUUCUUCACGCUCCCCCAGUACUCCACCGCCGAGGCGGCCAACGACGUCGACGACGGCGCCAGCAGCAGCGGCGGCGAGAGGCGCCCCGCGACGCGGACGGGCGUGGCGGACGUCGAGGUGGCCGUGUCGGAUGGCGGCCACACGACGGUGAAGGUGCUGGCCCCGCGGCGGCGGCGGCGGAUGCUGCUCGGGCUGCUUCUUGGGAUGCAGCGCCGCGGCCUCACCGCGCUCCACCUCAACGCCACCACCACGGCCGACCAGAUGGCCUUGUACACUUUCAGUCUAAAGGUGCGAGUGUUAACUAUUAACAUGGUCUCAUUAGCAUUAUGACGACAUGGGCUUCUUGAUAAUAAUAAUUGCCAUCGAUCAUUGUGCUGUACAGAUGGGGGACGAGUGGCAGCUCUCGUCGGCCGGCGACGUCGCGGCCGCCGUGCACGACAUCGUCGCCGGCAUGGACACCGCAGAAGAACGUGCUGUUUAGCUUUAGCCUGAAAAUGACGGGAUUCUUGGUGUUGUUAGUCUUCGAUCGUUCUUUCGGUUCACGAAUCAUAUCACGGCUGUGCACGCACCUAUUCCCACUUCCCGUACACAACAAACCCUGUGUGGGGACUGGUGACCCCGAUGUUUGAUUUUGUGAUAUCUUAGGGUUUCAGCUAACCUACUCAUGUUGAACAAAUCUUUUCACGCCAUGUUUUGAACGCGUUUAAUCUCAUCGUAAGAUACUAUGCUGAUCUGGAGAUGCUGCGUGGAAAUCGUAAAAUCUAGUCCAGUCUAUCGCCCUGUUUAUCCGAUGUAACGAACGGUGCUUUUCUGCCUUAAUUCCAAAUAAGCUGUCCUAGAAUACAUGUUUAGCGCCUUGCUAAAAUUAGUCGGAAACGUACUAACGAGUAACGACCACUACUUCUAAUUUAUUAGCCCAUCUGUCACAUUUGUCUUGACUCAAAAGGACUUCACAGUGGGGCUCACAAAGCCUGAGCCCGGUAGCCCACUGUAUUUGGGCCCACAAAGCAACGGGAUUCUGAAUUUUGGCCCAGUAUUUGGAAGGACUUCCUCGGCAAGAAAAUUCCUGACGAUCACUGAAUCCGAACAAGACUAGGCUGCAGCUAGCACAUGCUACUUUGACAAAGGAAAGCAGCCUAGCAACAAACACAACUGCUCUAGUACGAGUACCAAACCUAGAGCAAACCCUACUACUCGUCUCAUUCAUGUUUGGUGAGUGACCAACCGGAUCAAAGAUCGACAUCUAUCGCUAGGUACGUACCUUAGCUUCUUCAACGUUUGAUCCUCUAAUCCUCUCGGAUAAGAACCCCACCCGCAAGCACCGAAAUUAAUGUUUCAUCUCAUCGCCUUCAGAUCACGGCCCAAUCGAUCGAGAUCUCUCGCACGUAGCAGCUUACCUGCAAACUUUCAUGUCACAUCGUGUGCUUUACUGCAAGCCUGCUGCAAGGUCUCAAGUACACGAAGUUCGUGUUGGAUCAGCCGGUGAGAUCGAUGCGCCUCAAAGACUUUGCAACCUCUCAUCACAUUCUCCGGGAGCUGUCAUUGUCCACAUAGUAGGUGCCUCUGCAUGCCGUUAACCCAAGCAAAUGUGAAGAGCUAGUGUAGAUCACAGAUCAUCUUUGAUCCCAGCCUACAAGGAUUGGACUGUACUCCUAGUAGUAAUUGUCUAAUUCUAAUUUCUAUAAAGAAACAUCUGGCCUCAAAUGACCUUGGAGGUUGGAGCUAAGACACUGUUAGCCUCCAUUGCAAGCCUUUCAUGGCCAACCACAGCACAUAGAUGGCCAGUCUGGUGUGGUGACAGUGCCAAGCCACCAGCAGUUACAUGCUUACAUUAAUGUCCUCAUCUUUCUCCCCCGUCGUUGCAAGAACAACGCCUGACGCGUGUUCGCCAUGAGAAAGAUGUCGCAACUGAAAAAAGGCGGCAGAAAGCUUUGCCAACGACCAUGGAGGAUUCCUUUUCCGUAAAGGUCCUCGACAGGUAAACUGGUCACGGGUAGAGUCGUUUCUAAGCCAUUUCGUAAGAUCGUCAGGGCUUCCUACUUCUUCAAUUCCUACUCCCAACUAACGCCAACGAAAGCCAGUCCACCAACUCCCAGCUGCUGCGACGUACCGUCAGUCUGUCGCUCGCACAGUGGCAUGGGUAUAAAGGGCCCGUGCUUUGCAGUCGGCUCUGCAUCUCGAUCGCUUCGGAUCUGCUGCAUUGAUCUCCUAGCUUGUUCGUUUUCCGCUUUGCUCGCUCGGUCGAUCGAUCACAGGUCUCAGCUACGGCAAUGGCUUCCGGUGGCGCGUCACUGGCCUUGGCGGCGCUGCUCCUUGUGAGCUGCGCAUCGGCGGCGGCGGCGACCAAGUACACCGUCGGCGACACCACCGGCUGGACGACCAGCGGCGAUUACGCCACCUGGGCCAGCGACAAGAAGUUCAAAAUCGGCGACAGUCUCGGUUAGCGACAUAUAAAACUGCUUGCUUUUCGGGCAUCAUCUUUAUAAUUUAUGUUCUCGCUAUCUAAUCUCUGUGCAGUUUAUGAUCGUUAUCCCAGUAAAACCAUGUUGUUAUGCUUAAAAAUGCUUCAGUAAUACAAAAACUUUUGUUUAGUGCAAUGCCGCAUUCCUACGAAAUAAAUGUGCGGCCAAGACACAUUGUAACUUUCGUUUCUUUUCAGUGUUCAACUACGCCGGCGGCGCGCACACGGUGGACGAGGUGAGCGCGGCGGACUACGCCGCCUGCUCCUCCAGCAAGGCGCUCAGCAGCGACAGCGCCGGCACCACCACCGUGACCCUCAAGACCGCCGGCAAGCACUACUUCAUCUGCGGGGUCGCGGGCCACUGCAGCAGCGGCAUGAAGCUCGUCGUGGACGUCGCCGCGGCCAAGGCGGCCACCCCUUCGCCGGCGCCGGCGCCGGCCGUGGCUCCGGCACCGGACGCCGCGGACACCACCCCGGACGCCACCCCCGCCACGACUCCCAAGGGCUCCGGCGGCGCCACGCCCAAGACCCCGGUCACGGUCCUCUCGCCGCCGGGCAAGAAGUCCACAUCCGGCGCAACCGGGCUCAGCGCCACGGCAUGGGCUAGCUUGGGCCUGGCCGGGCUCGUGGCCGUGCACCUCGGCGCGUUCUAGGGCCGCCGGCCAGGGUGGAGGCAGUGCUGUUUUAUUCUCGUUUUGUUCGUGAUAGGAUGCACGUCAUGGAUUCAUGUAUUGGUUGAGGAUCUGACUAUCUUAGAGGUUUCUUUUGAUCCCAGGCAACUCAGUGCUUUUGCUGCGCUGCGCUGGUGGCAAUUAGUUGGAUACUUGGAUAUUAUGCUAUUGUUAUCAUAUUCUUUAAUUUUCAUGCUCUUUCAGUCUUUCUAUCGUAUUUCCAUUUAUAUUAUUUUCCAAAAAAAAUAGUACUCCCUCCGUCCCAAAUUAUAGACUGUUUUACUUUUUUAAUUCACUGAUAUUACUAUGUACCUAAAUAUUCAAAGAUGACAUCAACUCUUGGAUGAUGGCGGCAGCCAAGUUUAUCUCCACCUUAGUUGGCCGAACUUAAUCUCGGCCGCAACUCGAGUCUGUUUAUAACUAUAGUUAGAGUGUAAACAGCUCCGGGAACUCCUUUUUAAUACAAUUAGUAAGUGGCCCGCGUAAAUAGUGUGGCUCCAUUUGUUAUUUUAUAUUUUUAAAAUUAUUUAUUAAAUAUAUCUUAAAUUUAUAAUGGAGCAAUACAUAAUUUCUAGAUUCUCUUACAAAUUUGUAAUAGUUAUAUAUGGUUUUUUCCAUGUUUAUGCUUGUACGUCCUCCCUACUACUAAAUUAUUAUUAAUAUCUCUCAACAUUGGAAUAAAACGCAAACUACAGAAUAUGGAGUUUAUAUAUUACUUUUUUCGGUCGUCAUAUUUUUACAUGAAUUUUCAGUCAUUUUUUAGGUCCUUCUCUUACCAAUAUAUAUCAAUAUAUACUACACAUUGAUUAGUUUACUUUUCUUACUAAUAAUUUUUGUAUUUAUUUAUAUGUAUUUGAUAUAGUUUAGUUACUUAAUUUUGAAGCCAUAUGAUAACUAAAUUGUUAAAUUAUUUAAUUUUCAUUGUUUUGUUAGAGUUUCCCUAGAUAUUCAGUUAUACUUGCUUUUGUAGCUUUUAAAUUCAUUUAGUAUUCAUAAAAUUUUAUAAAAAUCUUUAAUUAAUUUUUUUAGAAAAUUAUAGGAAAUUUUUGGAUUUUGUGACCGGCACUCCACUAGGGGUUACCUAGGUGGUAGAUUUGCAGGUGAGGGAGAUCGUAAGACCAUGAACUCAAAUGGUAAUAUAGGUACGUAAAGGUUACCCAGGUGGUAGAUUUGCAGGUGAGGGAGAUCGUAAGACCAUGAACUCAAAUGGUAAUAUAGGUACGUAAGGUUUAUACAGGUUCGGGCCUCCGGAGAGUAAUAUCCUAAGUCCUAUGUUCUGGUGGAUUGUAUUGCUGAUCGCAGGUACGAAGAGUUAACAUGUGUGUUGGGUUGAGGUGCGUUACCCUCGGGGGAUUCGGGGAUAGAUCCCCAGUACUCGCAAGAAAGGAAGAAGACAGACUCCUACUACGAUUCCACCGUAAUCCUACUAUGACUCAUAACAUGUAAUCCUACUAGGACUCCUCCUUGUAACCGACUAGUUAUCCUGUUUCCUGGAGUAUAUAGAGGAGGGCAAAGGUACCUAGGUCGGCAGAACCAUCAUCAAUAGCCAACAAUCAGGCUAUGCAACACCCAAGCGCAGUGUGCAAUAUACAACUCCCCAAACAUGACGUAGAGUAUUACGCUACUCUGGCGGCCUGAACCUGUAUAAAUCCGUGUCUUGUGUCCUCGCUUUUACCUUCGAGUUCCAGGUCCGACGAUUCCCCACCAACCAAUCUACUACCCCGGGUACUCCCAUGGUAGGUUGACGGGUAUAAAAUACUGACAUUUGGCGUGCCAGGUUGGGGUGAUCGUCGAGAUCAUCAGGCGAGCUUGAAAGACCUCAUCUUCAAAAUCAAUUUACUCAACGAGAAGAAAGUUGCCGAGUUCCAAUUCGAAGCAGAGUCGAGAAGCUUGGGAAAACAAUUGGAUCACGAGCGAUUCCAUCCGCAGAAAGCCGCAAGUCCCUACCCAAGUUGAAUCCGACAAGGCAACACCAAGGAUCGCAUCGAUCAAGAUUACAGCUCGCGCGGCAACACCUACAAUUAGCAAGCCGACGCGCCAGCGACAACCUUGACUACUAUCGGGGGCUACUCCUCUGUUUUCACACAAUUCAUGGUGGAUUUAGUACUCGGCGACACGCAUCUCCUGCCGCGUCAAGCAGGGAUCAAGUAGGAAUUGGGUUCGGUAAUCAAGUUCGAAACCAAAGCAAGGCAUCUCCGAGUCCGAAGCGAAGUUGCCCUACUACACCCUGCAGACCAAUCAGCAGACUGCCAGGCUAUCGUAGUGUGGUUGCUGUUCCCAAGGCAAAAAGAAGAUCGCAAAGCUGGUUCCUUCCGAUCAAAGCUAGAACUCAAGUCUGAAAGCAGAGCAUCGUCAGGACCGAGAAAACAUGCUGCCGUGGUGCGUGAAGAAGAUAAAAAUUCAGCCUGAAGUUGCUAUGCACACACAAAAGAGUACAAGAAGACUUCAAGUGCUUCGUGGCAACAUCGACAUCCGGCCGCAUACUACCUCGUCAACGACUACUUCAACUUCGCGAGGGCGCUCGGCGACCCACCAACGACUACCUCGACUACUAAUCUCGACUAGAAACUAGUUGGGACAGGCCUUGCACCAUCAAUAACUAGUUGGAAUCGACUCCGACUAGCUGGCUUGACCAACAACCAUCAUGCCAGCAACAAUCUCGACUACUUCGAUGGGCGACUCACCGAUGACUACUUUGACUACGCCGUGACGCUCGCCAGUGACUACUCAUCUCGACUAGAAAAUUAGUCGGGAGGGGCCUCACACCGUCGACAACUAGUCGGAAUCGACUCUGAUUAGUCGUCUUCAUCAACAAUCGUCACGGCUUCAUCGACAACCGCCAUGACCUAAUUGACAAUUGUCCACGAAUCAAGCUAACUCACUUUCCUAAUUAUUUUCCGGCUGGUCUUCUGCAUGCGGGGCAACACACCGACUACUUAAUUGUGUACGCCUCUCAACGGGAAUUACCCUACAGAGCUGCACUUUGCCAACUACUUGCCGGAGGGUAGCAAACUCAUGCGCACAAUACGCGCUCUACUCGUUGGAGGGCAGAAACUCUUGAGCACAAUCGCGCUCUCUUUUUUGUCACAACGACGACUACUCAUUUUUGUCUUCUCUUAAGGUCACUAAUCUCCUUGAGCAGAACACGCCUUAAUUCGUGAAAGCCUUAGAAGCAUCUGCCAUGUAUACAUGAGACAAAGAUCUCAGCUGUGCAAAUGGCAGUGCCCGUAAACGUACAAGAGAUAAAGAUCUGGCCACGCAGUGGCUGCGGCUAACAGAGACUGAGAGCCUAAACGUAACAGGCUAACUACUCGGGAGAAAUAUGGCUAAAAUAAGAGCAUGACACAAAAUGUUUAUAUUGAUCACUGAAUAAAUUUUAGUAGUUUUAAUAUUCCACAAAUAUGCUACAUAAUGUAUGCAUCUCUUCUUUCAGGUCAAGCUUCGACGACGACGCUCCAGGAUGCUAAGCGUACCUCCAAAGGCACCGCUAGCUUCCAUGCUCGGGGGCUAAGUGCCAAUUACUACUCGGAAUAUCUCCAAUGGCUCAGCUAGCUUCCAAGCUCGGGGGCUAAGCACCAAUAAAUACUCGACGUGGCUUCUCCGGCUCACCUAGCGCAUAAGCUCGGGGCCUGGACGCCACAAAACUACUCGGAUGAUGACUUGCGUGAAAAUUCAAGAUCAUUGAGUUGAUUAUUCAAUCAAUCCAAGGAUCGGGAGCUGAUAAGCUAUACCCAACAAUUGAUUUUUUUCAAGUUGAAAGAAGAAGAUUUCAAGAUUUUGAUUGACCCUCAGCCUGGUUCUACGAUUCAACCUAAGGCUCGGAGGCUACUCCAUAUGGAGUGCGACUUUCGCCACCCUCCAUAUAUGAAGAUUAAAGAAUCAAGAUGAUCAAGGCUUUGCGCACACCAUAGCCUCAUGACAGAUUUGAGAAACAUUGAAGAUUCAGCCAGAUGAAGUACUCAAAGAGCACCAAAACUACUCGGCGAGGAUCUUAAAACUACUCAAAGACUGCUGCAUUCGACUAUGAAGCGCUCGAGGGCUUGUCGGGGAUAGAUCCCCAGUAAUCGCAAGAAAGGAAGAAGACAGACUCCUACUAGGAUUCCACCGUAAUGCUACUAGGACUCAGAACAUGUAAUCCUACUAGUACUCCUCCUUGUAACCGACUAGUUAUCCCACUCCCUGGAGUAUAUAGAGGAGGGCAAGGGUACCUAGAUCGGCAGAACCAUUAUCAAUAGGCAAUAAUCAGGCUACGCAACAUCCAAGCGCAGGGCGCAAUAUACAACUCCCUAAAUAGGGCAUAGGGUAUUACGCUACUCUGGCGGCCUGAACCUGUAUAAAUUCGUGUCUUGUGUCAUCGCUUUUACCUUCGUGUUCCAGGUAUAACGAUUCCCCACCAACCAAUCUACUACCCCAGGUACUCCCGUGGUAGGUUGCCAGGUACAAAACACCGACAGGGGGCGCCCCUGGCCGCCUUAUAUAGGUUGAAAACCUAGGGUUAUAAUCGGAUAGGAUCUAAUCCUAGUCGGUUGUUACAUAGAAAGCAAUCUGAGUCGGUUUACAACAAGUAUCCUAUGAUAUCCGGGUAGAAUCCGUUCGCCCAGCCUCCGGACUUGUACUCCACGUAUCUUUAUGCCUUGGCCCGCACGGCAUGGUCGGGCGAGCCCACCUGUCAGGGCAGACCAGUAUUCUGGUCGGUGGGGACCCGUGGGUACCCUUAUCCCUCAAACCCUCAAGCAAUGUGGAGUUGAAUAGGAGCCUGAUGAAUACGUAAUGAAGCUUGUAAUGCACUCGGCUGAAGUUGUGGUGUCGUCAUAGUGAUGGAGAGGCUGCACGGUGCUCAAAAAAGGAAGAAAAAUUGAAGCUUCCAUAGGCGUAUGACCAAACACACAUGGCUAUGCGACUGCUGAGUUCUGGGAUGUCUGGCAUCCUGUAGAUUGAAGGGAAGCACAUAGAGGGCUUCGCCAGACGCACUCCAUAUGGAAUAGCCCCCGAGCAUUGAAGCGAUUAAAGUAAUCGGUCUAAUGGUCAAGAAUAAGAUGUAUUGUUUCCGUCGUAAAAGGGACCAAAUAUAGCGCCCAACCCCCAAGCGCGAGGACUAGCAGAGCCACAGAGGCAUGUCAACCUAAAAUAGGUGCCCAGCCUCUGAGCGUGAGGACUUGUGGAGCCAAGGAGGCACGCCGACUUGAAAUAGGCGCCCAGCCCCCAAGAGCGAGGACUAGCGGAGCUAAGGAGGCACGCUGACCUGAAUAGGCGCCCAGCCCCCGAGCGCGAGGACUGGUGGAGCCAAGGAGGCACACCGACCUGAAGUAGGCGCCCACCCUCGAGUGGGAGGACUGGCGGAGCCACGGAGGCAUGUUGUGAGACUUAACGAAAAAUCCACGGAUUCCGUUCAUCGCUUGCGUCGUACCAGGGGACCUGCGAAUUCUGUCGCUAGGUUUACACUGUCAAUGCCUUCUAAAGACGAAGAGGUGCGGUUUCCUUUCCAUGUCCACUCCACUCACCCCCAAGCGCUGCCACUACUGCCAACGCUUUAGCCUCUGCGAUAGAGAGCCCUAGGUCACGCCGCCGCGUCCGCAAGCCACGCCGCCGCGUCCGCAAGCCACACUGCCGCGUCCGCAAGGCACAUACAUCGCUCCUCCGCCCGAAGGCUGUAGUCACCACUACCACGACACCAUUACCCGCCAUAUGAGAACCAAGAGGCCUGCCUACAUCUGAUCUGCGCCGCGAGGAUUAGAAACUGAAGAAAUGGCGGCAGAGGAGGCAUGGGACCCAUCCACCUACUGGAUGAAAUCCGUGAUGACUAAGGAACGGAUCUAGGCCCUUGUCGACCGUGGCCUACUCGGACCCAAGUCCCUCGUGGAGUGGAAGGCGACCGCGAGCUAGGAGUUCCCCACCGAGAACAAGAUCGAAGCCGUUGUCUUUGCAUCGAUCUUCGAGUGGGGAUUCGGGAUCCUAACUGGAGAUUUCUUCAGCGAACUACUGGACUGAUCGAGUUAGUGCAUCUCAACCCUAACUCCAUCUUGGACAUCGCAGUUUACAUCCAUUUGUGUGAAGCAUUUCUCGAAAUCCCCCCAUUUCAAUCUAUGGAGAUAUCUGUACCAAUUGAAAGCAGUUACGAGGAAGGGGAAACCGAGGGUGAUCGGCUGCUAUGGAGUUUUGCUACAGCCAAAGAGGGUCAUCGAGUACUUUGAUCUGAUGCUCAAGGAUUCGAACAAGGGGUGUGAUGGGUCCAUAGACCCGGGGUCCCCGAUGGGCCUGCUUUCCCGCAAUGCCUGGCCCAACAAGAGGCGCAGCGAUACUGCAUGCCUGGGCCACCCCUGCAACGCAACGCAGGCUGAGACCAAGAUCCGGCCAUCGUCCGGCUCCUCCGACCAGGAGGCCUAAUCGGUGCCCCGACCAGAAGGGUCCAGUCCGGGUUGGGACCACAGUUCGACCCCGACCAAGUUCCCCCGAUCAGGGAUGUGUCGUACUGACCACACCACUCCCCGCAAAAGGUACGGCUGGGGCCGACUAGGAUAAUUUACCGGGGACGCCCACUCGGUGUGGGCCCAGGGAGCAGGUGGAAUGGAUAAGAGGAAGCACCCAGGUCAACCACCGUACGAGGAACCAUACCGCACCACGCCCUGCGCACGCCCCGCACAGUGCCGCUGCAAUCUACCCGCCACAACGGAGUGGCCUGAUGAGAUGAAUAGGGAUCAAGGAUGGAGGUCAUACUGUACUCGACGACGUGGGUCUCGACACAACUGGACGACACCCGCACUCUCUCUCUCUGGCUUGUAAGGCCGUCCCCUUGGACUAUAAAAGGGGGCGCACUCUUUCUCUCUAGGGGGAGGACUCUGACUCUCUCAAACACAUAGCGCACAUUCGAGCCUCCCGUCACUCUCUUCCACUCGGACGAGAGCACGACCGGGUCUUGGACACCCCGUUCUCAUCCCUCACUCAUUUGUACCCCCACUGCAAAUUUUGAGCACCUGGGCUUAGGAAUAUAGUCGACCGGCCGACCCCGACUGGACGUAGGGCCUGUUACCCGAAUCAGUAUACAUCCUGUGUCAUUGUGUGCUAGGCCAUAUCCGAUCUAACGCAUGGCAAAACUACGAAGUCGGCCAGAUUUUGCACCGAUAGUUGGCGCCGUCUGUGGAGAUGAUGUCGUGCGUUCGUGUUUUUGCAGGUCAUCAGAUGGCCCACCUUCCCGCUACUUUCGGCAUGACGAGAUCGAGCGACACGAUUUGCUUUGGCUCGCUGGAGUUUGUCGCGCCCAUGCUCGGUGGGAUGUGGGUUCCACUUGUCUUCGCACCAUCCCAGACCUUGCGCUUCGGAAGUCUGGACUUUGUCGCCAAUCAGCUUGGUGUACUCUGCCUCUGCGAAGAGGCGGCCACCCCGACGUCCCUGGGAGGAGGAGCUCCCUUCAUCGACAGCAAGCCGCUCGACGAUCUCAACGUUGAGGUGCUUGCGCUCCACAUCGAGUCCGUGUUGGGCUCGAACCCCAUGGUGAGUGACGUGGACAUUAUCAUGUACUCACUGAUCAACACUUUCCGCCAACUCUCCGGAGGGACCCUGCUGUCGCCGCUGUGCUCACCACAUGGCUGGUUCCCCUAUGGUCUCGUGUCCCCCACGGACGCGUACGCACAGGGGCUCUAGAGGGUCAUGACAUCACCCCCUCAACCAUGCAAGUUCAUGGGAAUGGCGGAUUACGCUCCCACCUACUUCCACGACCUCUGCGACGAGGAGAUGGAGAGCGAUGGCUCCGGCAUCGGCGACAUCAUGUCGUCCAACCAUCCUCUGUCCUGGGAGUGUGCCAUGGAGGAUGCCCCGGGACAACCACCGGAGGUGGUGGAGUCUUAGCAGACUCACACCCCAUUGGACCACCACGCAGAGGCCCUGGUUUAGGUGCAAGCGCACAGCCACGAGCUACGGAAAUGGUGGCAGGCUCAGCACCCACCCACACCGGUGCGCAACCCAGUGAGUAGCGCUCGAGGCCGCGCCCGCUAGGUCCAACGCAACAUCCUAGCUGGGGGAGACACCCCCCCCCCACACACACAAUUCACUUGGGCUGGCCAGAACAUCGCCGCCGCAGCGAUGCUUCUGCGCAGCCUCCCCGAGCAUGCCGACCCGAAGGAGCAGGCAAUCCACUAGAACCUCCGAGCACUGGUAGAGAUCACCGCCGUCAGCAGGAGGAGAGCUUCGCGUCGCGACAGCGGCACGCAGCCUCUCGCCCGAUCGGGGCGCUGGGGCCGUUCCAGGUGAAUCGCUUUAUCCGCCUAGUACAACAACCACCUCGAGCAGGGCAGGGCGCCACGGUCGCAUCGCAGCCCGACCCGACACUUGCUCCAUGGCGUUCGCGCAUUCGCGAGCGACUUGGGCCAAACCGUGAUGCUCGCAGCGUCAACAACACUUGAUGCCAGGCUUGGCACGACGCCGCCGACCACCAAACGAUGGCGAGCGCUGGCGGCGCGGGCGCAGCCGGCCUAUCGAGGAGUACGAGAAGACACACCCCAGACGUGGUGGGCAACCGAGCGACCGGUAUGGUGACCGAAGCCCUAGCCCCGACGGCCCGAGACCGUGGGUCUUUGGUCACCACAUCUAGAAAGUGCCAUUCCCACAGCGCUUCCGACCACCCACCAACAUUGCCAAGUGCACUGGGGAGACGAACCCCGGUGUAUGGCUCAAAGACUUCCGACUUGCGUGUCGAGCCAAUGGUGUGGAUGAUGAUUACUUCAUCAUCCAGUAGCUCCCCAUCUAUGUAGGGGAGUUCAUUUGGGUAUGGCUCGAAUUUCUACCGCCCAACAGCAUCCACGACUAGGCGGGCCUCAAGAAGGUCUUUGUCAGGAACUUCCAGGGGUCGUACGUCCAUCCCAGGAAUUCUUGGGACCUCAAGAGCUGCAAGAAGGAGGCCAACGAGUCCCUGCGGGAUUAACUCCGCAGGUUCUCAAGGUAGUGCAACUCCUUUCUGUGACGACCGACCCCAAAUCUCAUGAGUUAAUCUUAAUCCGAGUCCCUAAUCCCCAUCUCAGCUUUCCCGAGUUUAAGUACUCAACCUCGAGCCCCGGUUCCGACCCUUGAGAUCCGACCCCUCUCUGUUUUCUCCCAGUCCCGACCCCGCUGACCCCAACUCACCCGCCGGAUCCUUCUAAGUCUUCCCACAACACCUCCCUUCAAUCUAAGCAGUGGACCAACCGAGACUGACCGAUGGACCCACAAAAAUCUUUUCCACAGAUCUCCCGCGGCAGAUGCACUUGAGUAGCAUGCUCGCUUCAGAGUUUCCCCGCCGCGUGGCUCAACUCUUCCGACCCCUGCCGCUCCGCCCCGUCGCCGGCCGCGACCGGAUGGAUAUCCGCGCCCCCUUCCCCAAUCGCAGCGGAAGCCCUCUGCAACCCUUUCUGCAGCACCUCGCCGCCCGCGCCCAUCAUCACCCCGCCGGACCCCUGGCUGCGGAGCCCGAUGCCUCCCGCCUUAUCCGUCGCCCCUCCACAGUCGCGCCGCCCGGACUGCACUACGCGACGAUUCCUCCGUCACCAAUCCAGACCCCGGCCGCGACAGUCCCUUUCCCACCUUGUCAGAGCAGCACCCCGACAGUCUGUUGCUUCGCGCUCGCCCACGCGACCGCAGCCCGCCUGUCUUCUCACCUGUGCGCCCUCGCUUCUAGCGCUGUUUCCCCGGUCACUUCCAUUAGAUCCACCGCACGACAACGCCCGCCUCCGCCAAAUCUCAACCACCGGCAAAACCGCGCCUGCGCCGCCCCGUCUCUGGUGCCCAAUGACCGCCGGUGUUAUCCCCAAAGUCCUGCUCCGCCGCACCGCUGCUCAAUCUCCGCCCCGGCAGAGCACUCGAUCGCUUCUUUCCGGUCUUCGCGCUGCUCCAGCCUUCUCUCUCUUCCGCGCAGCUAUAAAAGGGAAUGCCAGAGCUCCGCAGUAGUUCCCUUUGCCAUCGCUGCCCUUCCGCCUUGCUCUCUAUUUCAUGCUCAAAGCGCUACAGCUUAAGUCCCUGAGGAACUCUCCUCUCCACUCCACGCCCGCCCUUCCAAUCCACCCAGCCGCUUGCUUCUCCGUGCUGCGCAAGAGCUUGCUUGUGGUCCACAAGAAGCACCGCCGCCGUCGGAGCACCACCGGACCUCGCCGCUCUCCAAGCCUUAGUCCCUCCGCCCAAGUCUGCUCCUUCCCGACCCCAAGCCUCACCUGUGAACCAAAGGUAAGCUGCCGACCCCUUUUUCCGCCUCGUCCGACCCCUUCCGUUCGUCCGACCCCUUAUCCGUCUCGUCCGACCCCUUCCGUUCGUCCGACCCCUUGUCCGCCUCAUCUGACCCUAUCCGUCCGACCGACCCCUUUUCUCCGUCUCGCCUGACCCUGUCUAUUUUGCCGACCCUUUCUCCGCCUCGCCCGAGGGCUCGGCUGUAUCCUUUUUCCUAGACCCGAGGGUAUAUGUGUAAAGAUUUAGGGACUUCUCUGCGUUAAGUCUGAGGACCCCCAGCACAUCUAUUCCUCUAGUCUAAGGGUCAGAUCAUAAGUUUCUUUCCAUCCGACCCUUUUACCUUGUUCUUCUCCAACUCAAGUGAACUUCCUCACCUUAUCCGUAGCUUUGCUACAACCUUCUGGGCUAAAAACUUGCAAGUGUUGCUGUUGAAAUAACCAUCUAAAGUGCUAACUCUUGCAUUUGCAUGUCGUGUAGCGUUGCAUCUCGCCGACGGUAUCUACGAGUUGUACCCGGCGCCAGAAGACGAAACUGCAGCAGAGCUCCCGCUUCCAGAAGCUGAAGCCGCCCCCGCAGAAGACCCCUUCCCUUCCUCCUCGCUUGAAGGCAAGCCCCGGAUGCAUGAAACCCCUAUGUUUCCCAAACUUGCGCAUGCCUUCUUCUCCAUGUUUGUGCAUUUACGUAUAGGAGUUGCUUGUAACCCUAGAUGCAUAACUUAGAUCCCUUGAUCUGAACACUAGCUGUUGGACCGAGUAGAUGCUUUGCUUAAAUAGGAAGCGGUAAAAGCCGAGUGAUUUCCUGUCACUCGUGAGUUGUAGGAGUUGGUUGUUUCCUUUCUGUUACAACUAUAAGGACGAUGGACGGGGCAGGGUUCUAGUUAACUCUUUGGUGGUCGGCUGAUCGCCCCGUCUGUCUAUGGAACUUGUUAAGGCCCGACAGUGGUGGUGUUCGUGAUCAAGUGUUUGAAAGUACUAACCUCAUACUUAUUAUGGGAUGAGGAAGCCGAGUACCGGAUUGAACCUAGACGUGAGCGGUCGCCCCAUUGUCCUUGGAACGGAGUUUCCCCUGCGGCCACACGUGGUGGCAAGUGUGGUCACAGAACGGCAGAGGCCGGAUCUGUGAAACAUUGCACCAAAGGAAAUGGGCCCGACACGGGUUAGGGGAUUGAUGGGGAAUGCCGACACAGGAAGCGACCCUCGAUGGUGCGCGGAUGUCGUGAGGUUAGGUUCACCAUGCAUGGUUAAAGAACUCGAAUCAAUUCGUCUACCUCUCACAGUCUGAGACUGCUUGAUCGCUAUGCUACCCUGAGUAAGAAAGAAAUAUGAUGAUGACGUGGUCUGGAUGAUAUAUAUAUAUAUAUAUAUAUAUAUAUAUAUAUAUAUACCUUUUGGUUGGUUCUAUGUUUGCUUAGAGUAAGUUGCUAACUUAGACCGGAUAAUGAACUUAGAACCUGAGCUAAAACUUGAAAAUAGGUACCUACGUAGUGCUUUUGGCAAACAAACCCCUCAGCCAAAGAGCCUUGCAUGUCCAGAAAAGGUGGAGUAGCUUUACUCCUGUCGGUUAAGUCUUGUUGAGCUUAGUAGCUCAGCCUUGUUGUGGCCUUUCUUUUUCAGGUGAAGUUGUUGCUUCCGAGCCUUCUUCUGUUGGUACUUGGCCGCCCCAGCUCCCUCCGGGUUGGACGGUCGAGUGGGAUCCCUCCUCGGACGGUGAGGAGAGGGAUCACUGACGUCUUGGCUGGCCUCACCAGUGAUGUCCGACCCUGGCGAAGUAGCUUCCGCUCAUUUUUGCCUUCUGUUGUUUUCCUUUGAACCUUGUAAAACUCUGAUGUUUGUUUUAUGGCCGAACUAAAUAGUUAAGUGGGUUAAAUUAGUGGACUUGUUGUAUUCUCUGGAACCACUCACCUUCGUGUGAGUUUGCUAACUUGGUCCUGUUCAAGUGGUUAAAUCGGAGGAAAUCCGACGGCAUUUCGUGUUAACUUGGCUUAGGCAUGAGUGUCGCGUGUUAGGCGACUUAACCAUGUUUAAGCAAGCUAAUCCGAAGUGGAUCCGCCACACUUUCCUAGUGUCGUUGACACAGAUAUGAUCAGCGCGUUCCUCUCCGAAACAACGUGCAAGACCCUGGUCUACAAGCUCAGCUGCCUGAAGCCCCAUACCACCCGCGACAUGCUCGACAUCGCCACAAACCACGCCUCCAGCAAGGAGGUGGUCGGGGUGAUCUUCAGCGGUGGUUGGGACAAGGGCAAGGCCAAGUGUGAGGUUCAGGAUGAGGGUCCCUCCGUGCGACAGGACAAGAAGAACAAGAAGGACCGUACACUGUGGUCGAGAUGAUCCGACCAGGCACCUACCGACUGAAGGACGACGAUGGCAACAUCCUCACCAACACAUGGAACAUUGAGUAGUUACGUCAUUUCUUUCCCCAACUCGGUUUUUAACGGUCAUUUCCAUUCAACACUCAGCUCUUAUAGCGCCCUAGCCUGAGCACUCUCAGCCUGGGUCGCUCAAGGGCACCACGGGGUUGCGGUACCAUCCCCUCCUUACUUUCAUGCAAUCACGCACCACGCCCGAACGAAAGGGCGUCCCGUUCCUCUGACUGCCCUAAGUAACUUACGCUUCAGCCUCCUGAUCGAUCAGACCCUGCUACAACUACGGUUACGACCAGCUGAGCCUCGCGGGCCACGCUCGGGUUUUUAAGAUUGCAGCCUACGGUCAACAGGUAGGUUUGAAAGAAAAGAGCGAAAAGCAGAAACUACUUAAGGGAAAAAUGACAACGGGCGGGACCAGCUCCCCUUCACAUUUAAUACGAUCACGAAGAUCUUAAAUUGUUCUUUUGGGGGCUCUCGGUCCCCUGCAAAAUUCAUUAUAAUACAAAGAACCAACUACUUCUAUGGAAUUCUACUAUUGCCCCGAGGUUGUGUCGGCUGGCGGUACGGUUGCCGUGGACGAAGGCGCCUCAGUUGUGGUCGGGACGACAUUCUGCUCCAACUCGAUCCCCACUGCUUCAUCAGGAUUGGCGAUGCCUUCUUGACCCGCGCCUACAGCCCCCGCUGAGCAGCGAGCCUCCAUCACCCACUACGCAGUGGUAUGCUCGGCGACCGCAUGUGUGUGCGGCACCAAGUUCUCCUCCAGCGCCUGGAUCCCAUCCGCGCUCCACCCGUCGGCAUACCCUCUACCUUCCCAGGCAGGGUUGGGGGCCCACCAUCAGAAUCUCCAUCGAGGGGAGGCCAACGGGACACCCGAGCCGGUCGGACGGCUCGGGCAUCUGCCGAGAGACGGACAAAGAGUAGUGGCAUGCCACAUGAAGGCUAUACCGACCCCGUCAUGAACGACGAAUUCGGAUUCCACUCGAGCACGCCUGUUGGGAGCUCCCCGACCCCGUCACUCGAGUCGUCGAGGUAAGCGGUGUCAACUUAACCGCUCCGGUUGCGGAAACCGUGGAUGGGGUGAUGCCUAAAAACCCGACCGAGGAAAUUUUAUCAACCCUCCAUUUCCUUUCCCAUUGCAAGAGCAUUCAUUCAUUCAUUCAUCCAUUCCUUGCAUGCAUUCAUUCAUACAUUCAUCUCAUAUAUUCAAUCAUUGCAUUACAAUUGCUUUGUGUCGCGUCACAAAGCAAUAGCGGUUCAUUCGAAAUGAGCUGCGACCGACUCGGGUUUGAAGGCCGGUCCGUGAAGGGCUUGAGGCCGCCUUGCAUCAAACGGAGGCAGGGGAGAAAAUGCAGAUGAGCCCCAGCGGCCUUCGCCCGACCGACUCAUAAGCGGACAGGGUCGUCUCGACUUUCUCGUUCGAUCCUGACCUCGAGCCAUGCUCACAGGAUCUCCAUCGAGGGGAGGCCAGUGGGCCACCCGAGUCGUUCUCCGGAACAGCUCAGACAUCUAUCGGGAGUCGGGUUAAGGAGCAGUGGAAUACCACAUGAGGGCUAUGCCGACCCCGUUACGAACGAUGGACCCGGAUUCCACUCGGACAUGCCCGUUAGCGAGCUCAUCGAGCGUGUCACUUGAGCCAUCGUGGCAAGUGACGUUAGCUCAACCCCUCCGGUUGCGGAGACCACGGACGGGGUGACGCAUGAAAAACGCGACCGAUUGACCAAGCUUAACGGAGCUUAGGGGCUCAGGCUAUUAGAUCCUGACUCGUGAAUAUGACCGACGACACAAGUCGCGGUUGGAAGAUGCACAGACGGACGCCCCAACCCGCAAUAGGGAUCACCACAUACUAACCGAUGGGGACACACGAGUCCAUGACCCUGGAAAGAUUCAGCCUCUGACCGACUCCCCAGUCGGCCACAGGCUCAGGGGCUAGACAAAUCGGGUCCGCUCGAAUGAACUCGGCAGAAAACGGACUGCCGGCAAGGUUCCCCCCCCCCCCAGGGGCUGGGCACCUAUAUCUACUCGGCGCACCUCCGCAACCUUCGCUAGUCCUCUCCUCAAGGGCUAGGUGGCUAUACCUACUCGGCGCACCUCUGUGGCCUCCGCCAAUCCUCUCCUCAUGGGCUGGGAGCCUGAUCCCCCUCGGCAACCCUACACAGCACUGCAAACAACAGGGGAAAAUGCCAAGAUCUCAAUGACAAUCGGCCUCCAAGGCGCGAUGGGCACAGGAAACAUAUAACGAUGAAAGCCUUCAUUGAGCUAAAAGCACAGCAGCAACCCGCCGGGCAAAAUCCAACAACCCCUUCACAGCUUCAAAAAAGCCCCAAAGGGGCUCGGGGGCUGCUGACAGGUCCAUAGACCCAGGGUCCCUGAUGGGCCCGCUUUCCUAUAAUGCCAGGCCCAACAAGAGGCGUAGCGAUACUACACGCCUGGGCCGGCCCAGCAAUGCAACGCAGGUCGAGACCAAGAUCCAGCCAUCGACCGGCUCCUCCAACCAGGAGGCCUAGUUGGCGCCUCGACCAGAAGGGUCCAGUUGGGGGUGGGACCACAGUCCGACCCCGACCGAGUUCCCUCGACCAGGGAUGCGUCGUACCGACCACACCACUCCCCUUGACCGGCAUGGCCGGGACUGACUAGGACAAUCGACCGGGGACGCCCACUCGGUGUGGGUCCAGGGAGCGGGUGGAACGGAUAAGAAGAAGCGCCUAGGUCAACUACCGUACGAGGAACCGAACUGCACCACGCCCUGCGCAUGCCCCGCACAGUGUUGCCACAACCUACCUGCCACAAUGGAGUGGCCUGAUGAGAUGAACAGGGACCAAGGAUAGCGGCCAUACCGUACUCGAUGACGUAGGUCUCGACACGACUGGACGACACCCACACUCUCUCUAUCUCUCUGGUUUGUAUGACCGUCCCCUUGGACUACAAAAGGGGGCACGCUCUUUCUCUUUGGAGGGAGGACUCUGACUCUCUCAAACAGAUAGUGCACGUUCGAGCCCCCCGUCACUCUUUUCGACUCGGACCAGAGCACGAUUGGGUCUCGGACGCCCCCUUCUCAUCCCUCACUUGUUUGUACCCCCACUGCAAACUUUGAGCACCUGGGCCUGUUGCCCGAACCAGUAUACAUCCUGUGUCAUUGUGUGUUAGGCCACAUCUGAUCUAACACACGGCAAAACUACGAUAUUUACUAGUCGGCUAGAUUUCACACCGACAGGGUGGCACAAGGACUGGUUCCUUGUUGCCAAUCAAAAACCCGAGCUGCCACCUCACGUCAGGUAUGCACCUGUGACAAGGCUGGAAUGGUUGAACCAACCGACCUCUGAGGAGAUGGUCCAGGUCAACCAGCUGCAGAAGGAGAUCACCGACCUGAAAAGACGUGGGCUCAUAGCAGAAGCUGUUAGCAUCAAUUUUCGUAGAAGGUUGACACAGUCGAUCAAGGACAGGGUCCAUCCAGCGUAUGAAUACUCGGGUCCGCUGGAUCUGACCCGAGAAGUACAGCAAAAGGUUUCUCGGGAAGAGGUUGCUGGCCAGGUUUGCGAGUUCUUUGGUGGUGUCAUCAAGAAUAAGAGCUGCCCCAAGGCGUACUCCCUAGUGAUGUCGGCCAAUCCGGUAAGUUCUUGUUUCAGUUGUUGACAGUCCUAGUUUAGGGGUGUUUGGUUCUAGGGACUAAAGUUCACAUCGAAUGUUUAGAUACUAAUUAGGAGUAUUAAAUAUAGGUUAAUUACAAAACCAAUUGCAUAAGUGUGUGGCAGAAUCAUCCAAAUUAACCCAGCUAAAGUGUGCUAAACAUCGCCUCAAAUGCGAACAGACAUUUUAAUCGGAUCAAAAUGGUAGUCUGUCGGGUUUCACCCUAUACAACCAUGUAUUUGCAAUCGAAACACGCAUACAAUACUUGUACGAAGAUGAGCCCAGAGAAUACAACAAUCUAGAUGAAAAUAUUACAGAGGUCCCAGUUUAAUUAUUACAAACCGAGUUCAAAUCAUAAAGAAGUUCAGAGUUCAAAAGCAGCGGAAAAAAACGGUAGGCAAACAACGAUACAUGAUAUCAUGGUGAAGCCAUCCAUGACAUCACUCACCAUGGUCCUCGCCCACCGAGGACGAGUCCCACUCAACCGUCCAUCCUGGAGGGAGCUGCUAUGGCCAAGUCACACUAGCAACCACAUCAUCAAUGUCAUUACCUGAAAAUAUAGGCACAAGCAAGGCUGAGUAUACUAAUACUCUACAAGACAUACCCGUUAGGUGGUAUCUAAUCCACCGACUCCUAGACAUGCAAGGCUUUUUGGCUGAGGGGUUUGUUUUUCCUCAAAGCUUCUAAAGUGGGUCAUUGCUUUCAAGUUUUAGCAUCAAAUUCUAAUUAAUUAACCAAUCUAGGUAAGCACCUAUUCUAAGCAAGCAUGGUAGAACAAGCAAUUUAAUCAAGCCUUAAUAUUAAGCAUCAUCAUUGUUCAUCUUCUUACUCAGUGCAGCAUAGCGAUCAAGCAGUCUCAAUAUCUGCGAGAAAUAGACGAUUCGAAUCGAAUUUCUUAACCUUGCAAGGUGGACCUAAACACAUGACAUGUGCGUACCGCGACGGGUUCACACAUUAUCAACGGUUCCCAUCGAUCCCCAGCGCAGGUCCAGAGCCCACUUCCCUUGGAUACAAGGCCCCGUCGGUCCCGGAACGACGUCGUGCUAUGGCCGUACUUAUACCCACAUGAUGCACCAAGGGAAACCAUUUCUAGAGAGAGUGGGGUAAAGGUUCACGUCCCGGUUCAAUUAGGUACUAGGCUUCCUGAUUACCAUCUUCUCAGUAUGUGUUUAGUACGUUCAAAGACAUGACCACGAACACCGACACGGUUCGACCUUAGCAAUUUCCUCUACACAGACGGGGCAUCAACCAUUUCAGGAACAUCGCACAAAGCCCCGCCCAUCAUCCUUAUGAUUCCAACAUAAGUAAACAGGAAACUCUUAUAGUUGGCGAGUGAUAGGAAAUCACACGACUUUUACCAUGUCCUUAUUUAGCCUAGCAUUAGAAUCAAUUUUAAUACGGAGAUAUAAAAUAAACAAAAUAAACUACCAUUAAGCACAUUAAAUCCAAAAGGCUUGUAAAACAACCAGAAAAGUAUCAACAUCAUUUUUUCUAGAUUUUAUGCGGAAAACAAUGGCUAAUAGAAGUGAUUUCAACAUUUUAUCAAUUUUCCACUAUUUAUCAUGCAAAUAACAAAAUUAAGACAACAAACAAGCAUUAUAUUUAAAACAGCAUGAAAAACAAAGAUUCCACAAACACAAGUUGCAUGUCUGAAACAUAAAUGAUAAAUGGAAGCUAACAUAAUUAGUUUCACCAUUUUGGACCACCAUAUGAUUUAUAAAGCAUUUAUUGACUUUUAGACAAAAUAAAUAAUACAGAAUAGUAACAUGCACUCAAACAUUUUUGAAAUAAACUAGAUAUGAUUAGGAACUCAACAAAAGAAUAUUCACAUAUUUAUCAUUUUUCUACAAUUUUCUAGGUAUUUUCCAAUUUCGCAGCAAUUUAAAUCUAGGAAAUAAAUCAAAACCGAGGUCAACUUGCCAAACAAACCUCAAAUCUAAAGAUUCUCGCAUAUAGGACCCUAAAAUUUCCCAUAACCCCCCUCUCUUUCUUCUUCUUCUCCCACACAGCACACACAUCCACACAUAGAUAGGCACGGGCGGCGCGGCCGGCUCUACCCAACUAACGAGCUUGCAGGCGUGGGAGAGAGGAGGAAGGAACCACUAACAAGUGGGCCCAGCAAAUUUUAAACUGUUCAACUUUCCCGACUCAAACGACCUAGCUACAGGCACCUAAAAAUCUCCCAAAAAUACUCAUUUGAAAGAUAAAGUCACAAAGAACACAAUGCCACAGGAAUCAUUUGAAGAACUUCUCAAGUUUUCACACAAUUGUCAAAAGAAAAUAGCCAAAACUAAAAUUUAAAGGAAUUUUAACACAAGGAAAAAUCAUUGAAAAAUUAAGUAAAAAUAUUAUAAAGUUAUCAAAUUGCAUCUAGUAUUUAAAUAAAAUAAUAGGAGGCACAUUUGCAUAGCAAAAAUUGGAGUUGCUUCACAAGUUUGAAUUUUAACAAUAAACAACAAUUAUAUGAACUUAAACAAUGCAUGGCCAAGAUGCUUAAUUAUUCACAAAUGACGCUCAUGAUACUCAAUUAUGCACAAAUGAAGCUCAUGAUUCUCAAUUAUGCACAAAUGAUGCUCGUGAUGCGCGGCGUGCAAAGGUGCCAUCUUCAACGCGAAUUUUCUCACAAAUUUGAACUACGCGUUUGAAUUUCCAAAAAUAAAAGUUGGAGUUCAAAGUAUAUGCUAUAACUUUUAUAAAAGCCGACAUAUGAAAAACUUGAUGGAUUUGGAGAUAAACUUGGGAGAAGUUUGGUGGAACGUCGGCCAAAACUGGAUUUGAAAAUAAUUUGAUUUUCAGCCAAAUUUCUACUCAAUUUUUGAACACAUUCCACUCAAAAUCAAGAAAAGUGCAAAUUAUGAAAGUUGCUCUAUUUGAAAAGAUCUAUCCUUUUUAUAUUGGCCAAAAUUUGAGUUCUUAUAUAAAAUUUGUUUUUAUUUGCUUCCCAAGUGCAACACUACAAAGGUGUUUAAUCUCAAUUUCUCUUGAUUUAAUCUCAAUUUCUCUUGAUUUGGCUCCUAAUUACUUGGGAUGUCACAAAAUGAAGGCUAAUUUGCGAGAUGAAUCUAUUAAAUCUAUUCAGUCCAUGAUUUGACCAUGUGGUGUUACAGUAAAUAUGUGCUAAUCAUGGAUUAAUUAGGCUUAAUAGAUUCGUCUCACGAAUUAGCCACAGCUUAUACAAUUAUUUUUAUAAUUAGUUCACGCUUAGUCCUUCUAGUUGGUAUCCAAACAUUCGAUAUGACCCAAACUAAAAAUUAGUCCAUGGAUCCAAACACCCCCUUAGUUUGUGUUGCGCUUACCCGACCUGAUCCUGUUGAUUGAGCAGAGCCGCGAGUCUUAAUUCCUCUAUCCAACACCACUCCUUGGAAGCACUGAGCAACAACGGCCCAAGCUCCGUCCAUCCGCCGAGGCUGACCAACCGCCUGCUGCCCUUGACUAGGAGUCGGACUCCUCCUUUGAUGGCUCCUGUUGGAUGGCGGAUGCGCCAGACCAUGCAGAAGGUGAUAGAGUCCAAGGCGUCGGAGGCGGAGAAGAAGAAGCAGAACAAGAAGGUGGCCGCAAGGACCGAGGCCCCGACUACAGCAUUUGCCUCCGCGAUUAAGGCCUCGUCUAGGCUGGUGAGCGACGACUCCGACUCUUCUAGCCCUGCCGUGAAAAAGAAGAAGGCUGGGCUCCUUAAGACAAUAGCCGCCGACAUGGAAAAGGUCAUGGAGCGAUGGAAGACGGAAAUCCGCAGAGGAAAGCAGAAGGAGCCGACCCUACCACCGACAGUGCCUCUCCGCCCAAAGUUUCGAGUGAAGAAGAGCAUGAUGUGAGUGUCUUCAAAAUGUCGUUUGUUGUUGAAAGCUUGUUUGUAUGCUGCAUUGCUUUAUCUUUGUGUCCUGCCAUCUGAGCAGGAAGGCUGUGAUGGAGGACGAGCCAAACCCGCAGGAUGCUGGCAUUGAGACCCAUGCAGAGGGUCGGACAUCUGAUGCACCCUAGGGGUUGCAUUAGCAUUUGCUACUUAGGCCAGCGGUGAAAGUGGCCUAGUGAUGGAGCUUGAGAGGCCCAAGCAGCAGUCACACCUACUCCAAGACGUUGCUGAAGAUGCUGUAGUUGCCGUGCCCGGUGACACGGAUGCCAACGUUGAGGUCCAGAUGGAGGAAGACCCUAGGGAGGCACCAACGAAGAAGACGAUCCUUCCACACUGGACUUCUUCGGGAUGGUUCUGGCGUAGGAGGCUGCUGAGGAUAGGAGAGACCUUGCCGAGCUGAAGCACGCUUUCGGCAAGGUCGCGGAGUUGUUAUAUGUAAGUUAGCCAACCUGAUUUGAUGUUGAUCAUUGUUUCGGGUUUCCUUCUCUGAUUAGUUGGGAUUAUUCUUGCCCGGAACCUGGCCGAGCACGCGCACAAUAGGGGGAUGCCAUCUAUUGCGCCGAGGAGUAUCGACUCAAGGCUGAGCUAAGGAAGGCCAAGGAGGAAUGCCGCAAAGCAGAUAUGACAAAAAGAUCAGGAGAUUGCGGACCAAAAAUAGAUAACCAAGGAUGUCCAGAGCGACCUCGACACCAUGUUGAAUGGUAACGGCUUCGAUCCUUGUUAUGAGUCCAGAUCCUCUAGAUGCAACUAGUGCCUAUUCUUGAAUCUUAUUGCUUUGCAGAUGCCCAGAAGAAAGAAGAGAGCCUUAAGAGAGACCUCAAAGAGUGCAAAGCAGCCAGCUCCCAACUCCAGCAAGAUCAUGUUAUUGCCGUGCACCGUGAGUAUGACGUGUCACAAAAUCUUGCCUAUGAAGCCGACUUGUUACUAUUAGUUGUUUGAUUCCGAGGAAGAUCUCGAGACGAAGACCGUGUAGCAAUGCUUCAUACUCGGCUUCGUUGUUUGAGACUUCCCAAAAGAUUUGAAGUACGUAUUUGAGUUGGUCUCCUUUUGGAGAAAUUAAGAGUACUCCUGCGCCAGCUCCUUCGAGCUUGAGGGAACCAUCGAAGUACAUAACCCAGUGCUCUGGCCUCUCGACUGGUGUUGGUACUUGGUUUUCUGUCCAUUCAGCCAUGAAGUCGACCAAAGCCUGAGAUUUGAUAGCUAUUCUUGGUUUAAAGAGCUCCAAGCUCUACUGCCCAUUUGGAAAUUCUACCCGUGGCAUCUCUGUUGUGAAGGAUUUUGCCGAGCGGGAAGUCGGUGAUGAUUGAAAUGCUGUGUUCUUGAAAAUAAUAUCGCAGGUUCCGUGAGGUGAGCAGAAUUGCGUAGAACAACUUUUGGAUUGGCGGGUACCGAGUUUUGGAGUCUGAUAGUACUUCGCUGAUGAAGUAAACGGGUCUCUGAACUUUGUAAACGUGGCCUGGUUCAGACCGUUCAACUACUACUGCAGUGCUGAUGACGUGAGUAGUAGCCGCUAUGUAUAGGAGCAAGUCCUCAUUUGGGCAUGGAGCGGUGAGGAUUGGUGGUUUUGACAGAAAGUCUUUGAGUUGUGUCAAUGCUUUGUCUGCCUCUUCUGUCCAUUUAAACUUGUCCUGUCUUUUGAGAAGCUUGAAGAAGGGUAGUCCUCGUUCUCCAAGUCUCAAGAUGAAUCGAUUAAGGGCUGCCAUGCAGCCUGUGAUUUUCUGCACAUCCUUGAUGCUAGCUGGUGCUUACAUAUUUAUGAUGGCAGAUAUUUUCUCUAGGUUGGCCUCAAUGCCGUGAUGGCUAAUGAUGAACCCGAGUAGUUUGCCGGAAGGUACGCCAAGAACGCAUUUGGUAGGGUUAAGUUUCCAGCGGAAAGCUCAUAGGUUUAAGAAGGUUUCCUCCAAAUAGAUGAUUAGGUCCUCCUGUUUUCUUGUUUUGACGACUACGUCGUCCACGUAAGCUUCUAUGUUGCAGUGCAAUUAUUUCUCGAAGCACAUCUAUAUAGCGCGCUGGUAUGUUGCACCCGUGUUUUUUAAUCCAAAUGACAUUGUUUCGUAGCAAAAAGCCCCAAAUGGAGUGAUGAAGGCUGUUUUGGCUUGAUCUUCUUCUUUGAGGCUUAUCUGGUGGUAACCUGAGUAACAGUCAAGAAAGCAUAGUAAAUCGCACCUGGCAGUAGAGUCGACUACCUGGUCGAUCCUGGGUAGUCCAAAAGGGUCCUUUGGACAAUGUUUGUUGAGAUCCGUGUAAUCGACGCACAUUCUCCAUUCAUUGUUUUUCUUGCGAAUGAGUACAGGGUUGGCUAGCCAAUCAGGGUGAAAAACUUCUUUGAUGAACCCUGCUGCGAGUAGUUUGGCUAGCUCUUUUUUUAUUGCUUCUCAUUUGUCUUGGGCGAACCUUCGAAGGUGCUGUCAUUUUGGGGUAGCUCUAGGAUCAACAUUUAGAGAAUGCUCAAUCAGUUCCUUGGGCACACCAGGCAUGUCGGCUGGCUUCCAGGCAAAGAUAUUGUGGUUAGCCCGAAGAAAACUUAUGAGCGCGGUUUCCUAUUUAGGAUCUAGUCUUGUCCCAAUUAGAGCUGUCUUAGAAGGGUCACCAUUCUGGAGAUCAACCAUUUUGAAGUUUGUCUCAUUUGUUGGCUUUACUUUUGCUGGCCCCGACUUGUUUUCUGGGAUUUCAAGUUCUAUUGGAUAAAGUUUCUUUGAAACUAAAAAAACUUGUUGCAUAGGGCUAGGUCCUUAAGAAGUUGCUGCAAUUUCCACGGCUUCGGUGUCGCAUUCAUAAGAUCACCUUAGGUCUCCUCGUAGUGUUAAUUCUCCCUUGGGUCCUGGCAUCUUGAGUACCAAGUAAACAUAAUGUGGUACAGCCAUGAAUUUAGCCAAAGUUGGUCUCCCGAGUAUGGCAUGGUAAGAGGUCUCGAAGUCGACGACUUCAAAUCUGAUGUACUCGGUUUGGUAAUGUUCCUUGGUGCCGAAAGUUACUGGUAGGAUGACUUGUCCUAGCGGUAUGACUGCGUUUCCUGCUACAAUCCCGUAAAAGGGGGAGUCUAUUGGAGUGAGCAUGUCUGUGAUGUCAAGACACAUCUUUCUUAGUGUUUUGGCAAAAAUGACGUUGAGUCUGCUUCCGCCAUCAAUAAGUACUUUUGUUAGUCUUGAUCCUGCAACAACAAGGUCGAGUACUAGGGGAAAUCGGCCUGGUUCUGAGAAGUUUGUCCAUUGGUCCCUUCUGCUGAAGGUUAUGGGUACCGGAGACUAUUUUAGCGUUGUUGGAUCUGUUGAUUUGAUGGCCAUAAUCUCUCUGAGUACCAAUUUGCUAGAUCGCUUGGAUGCGGAACCUGGGAUUCUGCCAAAAAUUGCGUUGACUAUUUUGGAGGCGGUCUGGAAGUCUCCUUCUCCUUCUUCAUCCUUAUGGAUUUUGUUUUUGCCCUUAUCCUUUUUCUGGUUGUACUCUUCGGGAGGUGGUGGUGCAGGUAAAUCUUGCAUUACUCGGCGCAUGUUAUAGCAGUCUAUUGCUGAGUGUUUGCUAUUUGGGUGCCAUGGGCAUUAUUUUUUGAGUAGUUCGGUGAAGCUUGGUCCAUCAUCGUGUUUGUGGGAUCCCUUCUUUCCUGAGUUGGUCAUGGAAGCAACGGUGUUGUUAGGUUUGCGUUUGCAAUUUUGGUUACUCGAAUAGUUCUUUCGAGUAUCAUUGUUUCGGCCAAAUCGCUUGCAUUCUUUAUCUUCUUCAUCUGCCCAUUGUUGCACGAUGAUUUUGAGGUCUUUGACGGUGACUGGUCAUCGUCUGCCAAAAUCCUGGUAUGUUCGACGAUCAUAGAGGCCAUUUUAAAAGCUCUCGAUAACGUCUAUUUCUGAAAUGUCGACUAUAGUGGCCUUCUUUUCAAAGAAUCGCCAUAGGUAGUCGCGCAGUGUUUCGCCUUCCUUUUGUUUUACUUGACUUAGGUUGAUCUUGUUGCCUGGUCUAGUCAUGGAGCCCAUGUAGUUGUUGGUGAAGGCUUUUGUCAGAUCUUCCCAAGAGUCAAUUGUUUUAGGUUUGAGUGAUUCAAGCCAUGUUAGGCGCGUGGGUUCCAUGCAUAUGGGAAAAUGGAUGACUUUUGUGUCAUUAUUGCCUCCGGCUGCUUGGACUACCAACGAGUAGCAUCGGAGCCAUUGAAUUGGGUCUUGCUUGCCAUCAUACUUGGUGAUUCCUGUUGGCUUGAAUUUUUCGGGUAGUCUUGUUCUCAUUACCCGUGUUGUGAAGGCGUGAAAAUGGUUGUAGUUGUCGAUUUCACGUUCGCGGUGACUAUUGAUUAUUUCCCAUAGAUCGCUGAAAUUUGAUACUUCAUGAUUUUUCCUGAUAUGGCGAGGACUUUUUGCGGCAUUAGUGCAGCUGGCCUCUCCAACAUCCUUUGUCGUACUGGGGCUUCGCAUUUGCUCAGUCCUUGGCUAUGUUGCCUUGGUUGGUUGACCACCUCGUUGUUGUUUCGUUGUGCUUCGUGGAAGCCAUUGUUGACUGCGGCACCCCUACUGCCCUCUCGAUGGGCUGAGUUGCGAGGAACAUAUGGGAUUGGUGAUUCUUUAUCGAGUAGCUUGUAAGCUUGUUCUGCGAGUUGUGCAAUUAGUCCAUUGCCUCGCUGCGCAAGUUGAGCUGUUAUUUCGUUAUCUCUGUCUUGAGGUAUGAGAAUUAAUAUAAGGUUGAUUGAGGCAAUUGCUGGGAGUGGGGUGUUGUGCUCUUGAGCUUAUACUGCGUCAAAUGCUCUUUCAAGGUUUGUGAUGGGAAUGUUUGUGGCUAGCAACUGUCGACGUUUAGCUCGAGUAAUGUUUCGUAUCCUUCUUUGGUUUCAUUGAUCGGAAGUUUCGUCCUGCGAAGCGUUAGCCGAUGACUCAUCCUCUGAAACGUUAUAGAGCUGCGCUAUCCGUCAAGGGGUUCUCUGUUGGCUAGUGCCCACAUUAUUAUUUUGAGUGAUGACAAAGAAUUCUCUAUCUCGGUAGUAGCUUCUGGAGCUUGAUGUUGCAAUUUCUGUAGUGCUCUCCUCGCGGCUUGAAGUGAGCAGGAUGCCUUCUUCGUACGGGAGGUUGUCUAUGUGAGCGACAAGGCACGACUCGUAGUCGCGGGUAAGGAGAGAUGGCCUCAUUCUUGGCCAGUGAACGAAUCUGCCCUGCGGCGUUGAAGUUACUACCAAACCUUAGGCUGGCCCUGAUAAUGGAAUUUCUUGGACGUAGUCCGAGUUGGAGUCACAGUCCUUGUCUUCCCCGUGUUCGAGUUGAGUUCGAGUGAGGAGACAUUGGUAGACUUCGGCUGUAUUGCGGAGUCCGUAUGGGAAUCGUUUUUGAGUUGAAGUUGACUUGUGAAGUGACUGGGGCUUCGGCUUGUGUCGACUAAUCCGAGCUGGGGUCGAGUCCGAAGCGUAGUCGAACUCGGUGUCGCUGACUUUGAAAAUUUGGCUUUUCUUGAAAAAAUCCCCCGUUUUUUGCUGAGGAAAGCUUCCGUCGAGAGGUUUCUUCUCCUGGAUGUGAAACGAUCCAGCGCCGUCGGCGAUGCAGAGCCAAGAUCCGAAAACAAAAGUUGCGCCUGCCUCGAAGGUGAAAACAGGCUUGAUAAUGACAGAUGCCAUCAAACUCGCGCGGAGAAACUCGGCGACUGCCCCUACCUAGCACGCCAGCUGUCGGUGUUUUAGACCAGCAACCCACCUAGGGGGUACCCUAGGUGGUCUUUUGUGCGGUGGGUGUAUUCGAGAAUCAAGGAGUCAAUGGUGACGCAAGGAACACGAUUUAGACAGGUUCGGGCCGCUAGAUGGCGUAAUACCCUACGUCCUGUGUGUUAAUUGUAUUGAACUUAGAUGAGUUGUCUUUGAGGGGGUCGUUGCCCGCCCUUAUAUGAUCGGGGGAGCAGGGUUACAGGCUAGAAUCCUAGUCGGAUACAGUUAUAGAAUUCCACUCGGUGUAUACAGAGUAGUUUCCAUAUGUAUGUUGACUAGUCUUUGGGAGUCCGAGUGGGCUAUGUUCCUUUGCCGCGUAGCCCCCGAGCCUUGAUUACGUCCGAGUAUGCCCCUUAGUGGGCCGCACAGGGCCUACUCGUGGGCCUGGGAUGUAUGCCCGACAGUUACCCAUGCUACUGGUCCUCGUAACGCUGGCUCACGGUCCGAGUCCGCGCCUAUUGCCGCACGCUCGCGGACACCACCCUCGGUGUUGCUAAAGGAAGAUACACUUGCGCUCUUUAGCUGCACCAUCUGCCAUCGCAGUCGGCUCAUCGUCCUGCUAAACUUGUUGGCAAGAAGCUGCUGAUUUGUAUAUUCAGGCGCCUUUGCUGACGCUUCGGACCCGUGUCCUCCUCCACGGCUUCGAUCAUGUCCACCUCGACCUCGGCUACUUUGGCACUAAGGGGCUACCAUCUGCUUGACAAGCCUCUUCGGCUCCCAUUCCAGCCACAACAUCUACGGCGCAUCGACGGUUGCGACUGCGGGGGGAUGUCAUCUCUUUGGCUUAUUCUUCAGUCUCAUCGUCUGCGCGUUUCCAUUGUGACUGCGGGGCAAUGUUAGAGUAUAUUAGGCAACUCCGGAUAUGGUUAGUUUAGGAUUGAUUGUAAUCCCAUGAUAACCUUCCUUAUCUCUAGGAGAUGCUACAUGCCCUCCAAGCCAUGUACUCCUAUAUAAUCAGCCCAAGGAGCUCAAGCAAUACAUCCCACGCAUUAUACACGAUCUUACAUGUAUUGAAAUUGGUAUUGUAGAGUAAUUAGCACAAUAAUAAUAUAAGGGUGAUAUGCAUAUGUGCUUAAGUGUUACUGAAAUGCUCGCGGUAGGGUGUUUGGAUGUGCUUGUAGUAGCAUACUAUUUGGAUAUAUUCAUGGUAGAGAGAAUGUUUGGAUGUGCUUGUAGUAGCAUAUCAUUUAGAUAUACUCAUGGUAGCGUACAUGAUUUUGAGAUGGAUACUAGAAAUAGCAAAGCCACGCCUUUUGGGGAUUGGGCUUUGGAAGAACUUUUGCUUGCCUUGUCAAAAAUUCAUAAUUCAAACUUUGAUAAACCUGAAUGACCUAGCUAGAGAAAUGGAACGCUUCUGGUUCGUGUGCCUGAAAAAAGAAAACAUAUCCUCCUGCGUUGCAAGAUUAUAACAUCGAGACCGUGGACUUGAUCUGAAUUUUUCAUGCUAUGUAGAUGGUUAUUCACUUAGAUGUAUUGUAAAAUAGCAUGUUUUUGGCAUAUUCAGACAUAUGAGCACUGUGUAUUGUAAGAAUCCAAGGGAAACAGAUUUACACACCAAUUGAUGUGCAUUAAAUAGACGUAGAAGCCAGCUUUUCUUCUGUUGCCAUAUUUUUUUUUGUUUUGAUAAAAGACUUCAUUCAAGCUUAAAAGCAAUGUACAUGGAGAAAGGUCAGAUGACCCCAAGUUACAGAUUGGAUCGCUGCAAGAACAGCACACAUUCAGUGAAGAUUGGUACACACAGAAUCUAAGUGGCCAAUCAGAAGAAAGACUUCUAGCUGAAACUGCUAAUUGAUGAGCUGCCUCAUUCUGAACUCUAGAGAUUUUAGAGCAACUCCAAGAGUUUCUCUAAAUUUUUUUCCUCAAAAUUAUGUAUUGGGAGCUUUUCUAAUUUUUUUCCCUAAAAUCAUGUUAUCCCACCGCAGAUCUCCAACAAUAACCUUCCUAAUAUUUCAAAACAGGCCACGUCAGCACGAUUGGGCCCAUCAGGGCUGGCCUCACCUUCCACCUCACGAUCUGUUUCUCCUGUCGCCCCUUCUAGCGCCGCCACCACUCAUCCACCCUUCCAUCCCUGCAAAUUUGCUGCUGCGUUCUACAAUCAUAAUUGGAGAUAGGUAAAAUGGAUUCGUUAUGAGUCGAUAAAGCUUUUCCAUUAAACGGGUGCUGAAUUUAUCAUCAGAUAAUGAUGAUAAUGACGGAUUCUUCUUCUCCGUUGUGGGAAAGGAGUACAUGGGGGAGCGAUUGGGGAAGAGCGGAGUCACGGAAAUUUGCGGGGCGUCGGAGGAGUUAUUCGCGUCGCUGAAUUUUUGCGGGGAGCACAGGGGAGCUAUUGGAGGCUCAAUUUUAAUGUUUUUCUCCCUAAUUAAGGUCUUGGGAAUAAUAAAAGGGAGCUUUUUGGAGUUGCUCUUGAUCACUUGCAAAGCAUCCAGUAAGGCAAGUUCCUGAAAAUGAGAGAUCCAUGGACGAAGUUUCAAUGGAGAAUCUAAAGGCGACUUGUGCAGAUGUGUGAUUGCCUUGUUCUUCUGUUGCCAUAUUGGUCUUGGUCACACACUGAACCACCAACGUUGCUGGGAAGAUGAUAUCUAUUCACGGGGGAAUGCAAAUGAGGGGAAAAAAAAAGAGGGUCAACGAUAUUAAAAUCUCGACCGGUGAGGGAAAGACUGCCUCCAUACGGUUACAUAAGAAGGACUUAACCGUAGCCCAUCCGACAAAGGUCACGAAAGCUGACCCCCCUCAUACAUGGAGAUGCCACCCCCUGUGGUUUGGGCCUUUACCCGUGCUUUGAGGCCCAACCUACGACCAUCCCCUUACACGUGGCUCGCCCACCACUACUAGAAAAAAGACCUUUCUUCCACUCCCUUAGUACCGAUCACAUUUUGACCCGGUACUAAUGUUAGCAUUAGUAUCGGGUCUAAAUUUAGGACCCCCGAAGGUCUUUUAGUACCAGGUCGUAACACCACCCGGUACUAAAGUGGUACUAAAAGGUAUAAAACUUUUGGUACCGGGUCAUAACACCGCCCGGUACUAAAGGAGCACUUUUAGUACCGGGUGGUGUUAUGACCCGGUACUAAAGACUCUCCACGGGUUACUUCAAAAGGAAAAUAUAUCUACCUCCAUCACAUACGCUACGUAGGUGGGAUGGCAAGGAAGGCUCGCACGAGGCUUGAUGUCGUUGGUUCGAAUCCCAUAGACCGCGCACGACGCGACUAAAGGGAUCCAUUUACCCUUUAGUACCGAUUAUUUGACCCGUUACUAAAGGUCACCUUUAGUACCAACAUAGCAACGAAAGGUCCCCUUUAGUACCAACAUAGCAAUACCUGUUGUACAACCGGUACUAAAAGGUCCCCUUUAGUACCAACAUAGCAAUACCGAUUGUACAACCGGUACUAAAGGUGGGUUUGGAACCGGUACUGAAAGCGGAAUCCCCAGUAGUGCACCACAGGUCGGUUCACCCAUGCCGACCAGGGGAACCAGCGAGUGACUUUUUUAAUCCAGCCUCAUUUAAUUCGCUUCCACUGGGAGUCGAACUUAGAUCUACUGGGUGCUACUCAAGCACUCUAACCACUGACCUAGAGGCAAGGGAUCAAAGACAAUACAAUACUUAUUUUUCCGCUUAUAUGUGCCUCUCGCCAUUGUUCAUAUUUGAGCUUUUUUAACAUAACUGCAUGACAUGUGGUUAACAGGUAUCAAUAUCGAAUCCAAUUCCUUCAGAGUACCUUACAAACCUUUGCUUAGAUAAUUUCUUAUAUACACUCAUGGUAAUUGUCCUUUUUAAGGUAAGCUUCACUUUCUUAAGUUUUCUGACUACUAAUCUAGCAGCACGAUCAGAAUUGCUCAAGCAGGCAAGCAGUAGCCCAGUAGGAGCGCACGACGCAACAAAGAAGACUUACCUCAGUGAGGCCUAGAUUGAAGGGGGCGGACGGACGGACGGAGAUCCUACACAUCUUCCCGGAAGGUAGGAAGCCCACUCAUCUUCCAAAUUUUGAGAUUCAUGCAUAGGUUGUGGACCGUGCGAUCCGCUUCUUCCUUCCUCCUCCACGCGUCUUCUCUCCGCUCCUGAGCGUGCCACCGCCAUCAUGCACGCCAGGGCUGCCGCCAUG